CUCCUCACCGUUUCUUCCUUUAAGAGUAAAACGUACAUCAAUCGAUCUCUCAUGUCUCUCUCUCUCUCACGUCUCUUGGGCAUGGAUCCCUCUUUCAAUCUCUCUCUCUCUCUCUCCCAAACUCUCAUCUUGCUCUUCCUCUCCACAUGGAAACAGAUCCGAGUCUCUCUCAAAUUGCAACAAGGGAAGUUGAGGCAUGGAUCUCCUGCUAUGACGGAGCUCAUCUAGAUCAGGUUUUUGGACAUGCAUGUGUGAACAUUGCUCCACAAUUAAUUACACUGUAAUACAUUAGCAGGUAAGGCGAAUCACUUCUUAAGAUUCCCCAUCAUGAGUAACUACAGAAACAGGUGCAUGACCAUGUCUGCUCACGAACAAGCGAAGCUAUGCUAUCUGAUGCUAAAUCUAGCAUAUUCGGCUAGAUCUGCUAGGGAUUUACUCGAAUAAUUAUCUGUUAUAUUUUAACUUCUUCUUCGCAAUUUGUAUUUGAUGAAUCAUGCUUUCUCAAAGUUUAACAUAAAUUUCGAUUUUGGACAUUUACUGAGAAACUGGAGCUAGGUGUUAUGAGCAUGAUUCUUCAAUGCAGAGAAUAAUUGGAGGACCAGUAAGAAAAUUUUCAUGAUUUUGCCAAGUGCGCCGCCAUGCUCCACCCACACUUGCAAGCCCUCCAAUUAGAUAGGCGUAUAACCACGAGUAUCAUCCAUUUACCCCAGGAUACGAGAGCUUUCUCUCAUGCAGUAUUGACUCGCAAUUUUCCAAGUGACAUCAUCUCUGUUUUGUUUUAUCUUAGAAGUUGGAAAUUUGAUAGCACCUAACCUCAUAGACAUGUGUUUGUUCACGUUUUUCUUAAAAUCAGACUAAUUGUAAGUCUACUUCUAUGGCUGAUGCAACUCAGCAUUAGUAUCUUCCAGAUCUCAUAUAUUCAUUGUCACUAGAUGAAUUCAGGUCUGAUGGGGUCUUCCCUUUGCACAUGUGUGCAUUUAGCUAAAUUGCCAUCUAAUUGUUGCCACUAAUCACAAAUGUAAGUGCAGUCUGAAAGUUGAAGGAUGACAUGUUCUCUAGGGUCGGCAAUAAUUAAAAAAUAUAGUGGUACCCAAGGUAAUACUUGAGAAUUGUUUGUGGAUGAUGUGAUUUCUACUUUCUUCUGAUGCCUUUUCCCUUUUUCAUCUGUACAGAUCUCAUGAUCUUUAGUGACCACAGUGUCAUGUAAACUACACAUACAGUUGUGGUACUUGAUUUGGAAACAUCAUAUAAAACAUACUACAACAAAAAGAAUCUUCUAUUUUCUAUCUUUCACAUAUUGAACGAUGCACUUCAAAAUUUUCAUUUCUGCUAUGCACACAUGUAGGCACUGGAGCAUAAUUCUAUCAUCUACCUAUGGAAGACGAUCCAACAUGGAUGCUCUAAAAAGUACCGGAUGUUUAUAAAAUCUGCAUAUAACAUCACCUGCAUCGGAAAUUUCUGUAGCAUUUGAGGAUGAGAAAAUGGUGUAUAUGGUGUUGAAGGAAGCGUAGGAAGAAGCAUCUUGACAAAAGACAUGGCAAAGAUGAUGUCCAAGGGAAAAGCAGGGAAGUAAAACAUAAUUAGUUUAGAGUGGUUAAUGUGAAAGCAGUUUUAGUUUCAGCAAGAGGUGGAUUCUGAAGAUAACAACAGGUCAACAGCACAAGACUAUGAUAAGGCAUAACAUAGUUCUGAUGGGAAGGCAUAACAUAGUUGCUGGAAGAUAUAUUUGUACAAUAACAGGCACGCACAUGCAUGUGUAGUUAUACGGGAUUUAAAAAGAGUUAAUAUGAGAGAUUCAAUUCUGAUAGCUGAAAGAAAAUUACAGAACAAAUUUCUGUAAGGUAGCAGCCCAAUGAAUUGUACAAAUAUUGAUGCAUGCAGGUGAUGAUAUACACUAUAUCAUGUCAAACCCAGAAUCAAAUGUGUGUUGUGCAUUAA